UACGUAGGGUGCAAGCGUUGUCCGGAAUUAUUGGGCGUAAAGAGCUCGUAGGCGGUCUGUCGCGUCGGAUGUGAAAAUCCAGGGCUCAACCCUGGACCUGCAUUCGAUACGGGCAGACUAGAGUUCGGUAGGGGAGACUGGAAUUCCUGGUGUAGCGGUGAAAUGCGCAGAUAUCAGGAGGAACACCGAUGGCGAAGGCAGCUCGCUGGGACGGUACUGACGCUGAGGCGCGAAAGCGUGGGGAGCGAACAGG
rnacentral:rRNA from 1 species